GCUGGGAGUGAAGGCAGUGCGUAUGAUCGCUUGAUAUGAAAGACACAUCCUGUUUUAAAAGGUGGAUCGUGAGUGAAGCUCUGCAGGUCUGCCAUUGGCUUGAUAACAGUGGUUUAUGUUAAUUGAGUGAAUUCAAUUUAUAAAUAAAUCUUUCACCAAGCAUUCACCUAUUUACUGACAAAACAGAUCCAAAUCUUGUUCAGCCUGAUGCUCAACCUUGUAUGAUGAUGACCACAGCCAGGUGAUGGAGAUCUGUGUUAAUCACAGCCUGCGUCUCAAGAUCAACAUGACAAUAGCAGACCAUUUCUUAUCUUACUCUUAUCUGACUAAAUGUUCAGCAUCAUUGCAACAAAACAAAGAACAUUGGAUGGAGUAUUGGAGUAUUGGAUGAUCCCGUAAAGAAAAUAAUAUGGACUUUUUUGGUGAGAUUCUACAAAGAUUGACACAAUCCUAUUGUCUUUUAUUUUUACAGUUAAUAAUGCAUUAUAAACAUCCCAUUCAUUUGUAUUCUAUGUCAUCGAUCUGCUUGUGCUAAAAUGUAUACAUCUGAAUGUAAUGUCAAUAAUAUGUUAAUAUUCAGGAUUUAUUAUCAUAUGCAUGUUUUGAUGUUGCAUGUCAUGAUUUUAUUGAUUUCAUGUAAUUGUUGUCUAUUUAAAAUGAUUUUAAUUGCCAAAUUUUAU